GACGAACGCUGGCGGCGUGCUUAACACAUGCAAGUCGAACGGUGAAGCGCUUUCCUUUUUGGUUGGUGUGGAUGAGUGGCGAACGGGUGAGUAACACGUGAGUAACCUGCCCCCUUCUUCUGGAUAACCGCAUGAAAGUGUGGCUAAUACGGGAUAUUCUGCGCCUGCUGCAUGGUGGGUGUGGGAAAGAUUGUGCCUUUGGGUGUUUUCGGUGGGGGAUGGGCUCGCGGCCUAUCAGCUUGUUGGUGGGGUGAUGGCCUACCAAGGCGGUGACGGGUAGCCGGCCGGAGAGGGUGGACGGUCACACUGGGACUGAGACACGGCCCAGACUCCUACGGGAGGCAGCAGUGGGGAAUAUUGAACAAUGGGCGCAAGCCUGAUGCAGCGACGCCGCGUGAGGGAGGGAGGCCUUCGGGUUGUGAACCUCUUUCGCCAGUGAAGCAGGCCUGCUCCUUGUGGGUGGGUUGACGGUAGCUGGAGAAGAAGCGCCGGCUAACUACGUG
rnacentral:rRNA from 1 species